rnacentral:lncRNA from 1 species
AACACGCAGGGCGGUCACGGCGGCCUGCCCAGGGCGCAGCGGGGUCGACCUUUGUGCGGGGCGGGUCCCUGGCAGCCUCGGCCCGGACUCGCCGCCAACGAGGAGCCGAGCGCCCUGGAGAACGCGUCGGGGCUGAGCCGGGGUCCAGCAGCCGCCGCUAUGGACAUCCCGCCGCUGGCCGGCAAGAUCGCGGCGCUGUCGCUGAGCGCCCUCCCGGUGUCCUACGCGCUCAACCACGUCUCGGCGCUCUCGCACCCCCUGUGGGUGGCAUUGAUGAGCGCCCUAAUCCUGGGUCUGCUUUUCGUGGCGGUCUACAGCUUGUCCCAUGGCGAGGUCUCCUAUGACCCACUCUAUGCUGUCUUCGCUGUCUUCGCCUUCACCUCGGUUGUGGACCUCAUCAUCGCUCUUCAGGAAGACAGCUAUGUGGUGGGCUUCAUGGAGUUCUACACCAAGGAGGGAGAGCCAUACCUGCGCACAGCGCACGGAGUCUUCAUCUGCUACUGGGAUGGCACUGUUCACUACCUCCUCUACCUGGCCAUGGCCGGCGCCAUCUGCAGAAGGAAGAGAUACCGGAAUUUUGGACUCUACUGGCUGGGUUCCUUCGCCAUGAGCAUCCUGGUGUUCCUUACAGGAAACAUUCUUGAUGUCCAGCAGGGUUCUGGCAUGGCUGAUGCCCUCUCUCCUGCACCAUGGAAGGCAAAUACAGCUCCGAGAUCAGGCCUGCCUUCUUCCUCACCAUCCCCUACCUGCUGGUGCCAUGCUGGGCUGGCAUGAAGGUCUUCAGCCAGCCCCGGGCGCUAACCCGCUGCACCGCCAACAUGGUGCAAGAGGAACAAAGAAAGGGACUCCUGCAGCGUCCGGCUGACCUGGCCCUUGUCAUAUAUCUCAUCCUUGCUGGCUUCUUCACUCUGUUCCGGGGCCUGGUGGUGCUUGAUUGCCCCACAGAUGCCUGCUUUGUCUAUAUCUACCAGUAUGAGCCAUACCUGCGGGACCCUGUGGCCUACCCUAAGGUGCAGAUGCUGAUGUACAUGUUUUAUGUCCUGCCUUUCUGCGGCCUGGCUGCCUAUGCUCUCACCUUCCCUGGUUGCUCCUGGCUUCCAGACUGGGCCUUGGUGUUUGCUGGAGGCAUCGGCCAGGCACAGUUCUCGCACAUGGGGGCUUCCAUGCACCUGCGCACACCCUUCACCUACCGUGUGCCUGAGGACACCUGGGGCUGCUUCUUCGUGUGCAAUCUGCUGUAUGCGCUGGGCCCCCACCUGCUGGCCUACCGUUGCCUUCAGUGGCCCGCAUUCUUCCACCAGCCACCACCCUCCGACCCCCUAGCCCUCCACAAGAAGCAGCAUUGAGAGAGCUGUGGACUCAGGACCCAGGACUCUGUUUACGUGCCCAGUCAGCCCUACCUGGGGAAGCGGGGGUUGGGUGUUUUAGAGACAGGAGGGACAUCUCCGGGUGUCUUUAGUCUUGGCUAUGGUAGUUUCAGUCCAGUGGGUGGGAUGGAGACCAACGACCAAGUGUUCCUGCAAGGAGAGCCUCCCACAGCUGUCACCAUGCUCCAACUCCCACACAAACGCUUCUACCCCUUCCAGAACUUACCCAUCAUCCCCCCAUGGAUCCUUUCAGUAAAAACCCUUUCAAUUUCCAAAAUAUCACUGCCUAAGUGUUUCAGGGUGCAGGGGCAAGGGAUCCUCUUCUUGGCCCCCAUGAGGGCCCACCUAUCACUGCCAUCGUGGUUGCCAGGAGUGAGAGGUGCUGGGAUAGCAGAAGGCGGCCUCUGGUUGGUAUGCACGGCUCAUCUUCCAGAUGGGAAAACCGAGGCUCAGUAUGGACAAGAGACCUGCCCAAGGUCAUGGCCAGAGAGAAAAGUUCCUGCUCUACCAAUAAAUCAUAACUAAUAGCAUGAUACAUUUAUUAAGCACCUACUGUAUACCUUGACUGCUACAUGCUGGAUCUCACUCCAUAUUCCAGAUGGGGAAACCAAGGCUGCAGGAGGUGAAGGUCCUGGUCUGAGAUCAUUCCCCCGCUCAGUCCCCAAGGCAUGGCUGAGCUAAGAGAUGGAGCCCCAGCCUGUUGGACCACAGAAACCACAACUCUGCCUCUCCUAUCUGGUCGGGUUGGGCUCAUUUUAGGGGAAACUGAGUCCUGGAAGGAAGCCAAGGUGUUAGGAGAAAGACUCACUGUUUGCUAUUGUUUGAUUUUUUGAAAUUGGGUGAAAGGCCAGGUUUAGGGGCGACUUGGGCCUGGAGUAAGUCAGGGACCUUGACCAGAUGUCCCUUUUCCUUUUCUUUCUUUCUUUUUCUUUUUCUUUUUUUUUUUUUUUUUUGAGACGGAGUUUUCACUCUUGUUGCCCCGGCUGAUAUGCAAUGGCACGAUCUUGGCUCACCACAACCUCCACCUCCUGGGUUCAAGCAAUUCUCCUGCCUCAGCCCCCUGAGUAGCUGGGAUUACAGGCAUGUGCCACCACACCUGGCUAAUUUUGUAUUUUUAGUAGAGACAGAGUUUCUCCAUGUUGGUCAGGUUGGCCUCGCACUCCUGACCUCAGGUGAUCCUCCCAUCUUGGCCUCACAAAGUGCUGGGAUUACAGACGUGAGCCACCGCGCCCGGCCUAGAUGUCCCUUUUUCUUGCCCCUCCCAACCCCUACCGGAGAUCUACUGUAUGUCUAGCUACUGGAUCUUCACCAAAGAGUCAGCAGCAGGCUCAGAGAGGCCAACUGUCUCCUCCAAGGUCUCACAGCCAGUGAGGGGCAGACUUGAAUUGGGGCCUGUGGCUCCAGUCCACAGCAGAGUGUGACUAUCGUGAGGCCCCCACCCUGCACAGGGAGCGCCUUUGGGGUGCUGGAGACCAGGACUCCACUAUGACUACCCAAUGGACAGGUGGCCUGCAGGCCAAAUGAUCUCUUUCACCAGAUCCCCCAGGUCCCCUGCCAAAGCACAGUAACCAAGAUAGAAGACUCAGCCCCCUCCUCCAUUUCAAAGAUGGUUAAACUGAGGCUCAGAGAGGUUCUUCCCUGGCCUAAGUUCAGCUAGCAGGGCAGACGCCGGGAUUGCGCCGCCUGCAGGGACCUGCCCAGUCUUAACCGGGUGUGCGGGGAGCGCAGUCCGGGUGCGUAGGGGCCGCUCGGCGGGGGCCGCGCGGGCAAGAUGGUGUGCGCUCGGGCGGCCCUCGGUCCCGGCGCGCUCUGGGCCGCGGCCUGGGGCGUCCUGCUGCUCACAGCCCCUGCGGGGGCGCAGCGUGGCCGGAAGAAGGUCGUGCACGUGCUGGAGGGUGAGUCGGGCUCGGUAGUGGUACAGACAGCGCCUGGGCAGGUGGUAAGCCACCGUGGUGGCACCAUCGUCUUGCCCUGCCGCUACCACUAUGAGGCAGCCGCCCACGGUCACGACGGCGUCCGGCUCAAGUGGACAAAGGUGGUGGACCCGCUGGCCUUCACCGACGUCUUCGUGGCACUAGGCCCCCAGCACCGGGCAUUCGGCAGCUACCGUGGGCGGGCUGAGCUGCAGGGCGACGGGCCUGGGGAUGCCUCCCUGGUCCUCCGCAACGUCACGCUGCAAGACUACGGGCGCUAUGAGUGCGAAGUCACCAAUGAGCUGGAAGAUGACGCUGGCAUGGUCAAGCUGGACCUGGAAGGCGUGGUCUUUCCCUACCACCCCCGUGGAGGCCGAUACAAGCUGACCUUCGCGGAGGCGCAGCGCGCGUGCGCCGAGCAGGACGGCAUCCUGGCAUCUGCAGAACAGCUGCACGCGGCCUGGCGCGACGGCCUGGACUGGUGCAACGCGGGCUGGUUGCGCGACGGCUCAGUGCAAUACCCCGUGAACCGGCCCCGGGAGCCCUGCGGCGGCCUGGGGGGGACCGGGAGUGCAGGGGGCGGCGGUGAUGCCAACGGGGGCCUGCGCAACUACGGGUAUCGCCAUAACGCCGAGGAACGCUACGACGCCUUCUGCUUCACGUCCAACCUGCCGGGGCGCGUGUUCUUCCUGAAGCCGCUGCGACCUGUACCCUUCUCCGGAGCUGCGCGCGCGUGUGCUGCGCGUGGCGCGGCCGUGGCCAAGGUGGGGCAGCUGUUCGCCGCGUGGAAGCUGCAGCUGCUAGACCGCUGCACCGCGGGUUGGCUGGCCGAUGGCAGUGCGCGCUACCCCAUCGUGAACCCGCGAGCGCGCUGCGGAGGCCGCAGGCCUGGUGUGCGCAGCCUCGGCUUCCCGGACGCCACCCGACGGCUCUUCGGCGUCUACUGCUACCGCGCUCCAGGAGCACCGGACCCGGCACCUGGCGGCUGGGGCUGGGGCUGGGCGGGCGGCGGCGGCUGGGCAGGGGGCGCGCGCGAUCCUGCUGCCUGGACCCCUCUGCACGUCUAGGCUGGGAGUAGGCGGACAGCCAGGGCGCUUGACCACUGGUCUAGAGCCCUGUGGUCCCCUGGAGCCUGGCCACGCCCUUGAAGCCCUGGACACUGGCCACAUUCCCUGUGGUCCCUUACAAACUAACUGUGCCCCUGGGGUCCCUGAAGACUGGCUAGUCCUGGCAGAACAGUACUUUGGAGUUCCCUGGAGCCUGGCCAGCCCUCACCUCUUCUGGAUAGAGGAUUCCCCCAACUCCCCAACUUUCUCCAUGAGGGUCACGCCCCCUGAGGACCUCAGGAGGCCAGCAGAACCCGCAGGCUCCUGAAGACUGGCCACGCCUCCUGAGACCACUUGGAAACAGACCAACUGCCCCCGUGGUCGCCUGGUGGCUGGACCCCCGGGAUUGACUAGAGACCGGCCGUACACCUUCUGCAUCUCACUGGAGACUGAACACUAGUCCCUUGCGGUCACGUGGGACACUGGGCGCCUCCUCCUCCCCCUCCUCCUCACCUGGAGAGACUACAGGAACUUCAGGGUCACUCCCCGUGGUCACAUGGAGGUUGUGGGCCGAGGCGCUUAUUUUCCCUUAUGGUGACCUGAGUCCUGGAGACUCCCAUUCUCCCCCUCUCCCUGAGAGUCCCCUGCAGUUUCUGGGUAACAGGGCACACCCCUCUAGUUUCAUGGGCGAGCACCCCCAUCUGCCACCUCAGACUGACACACAGCCAGCUGGCUCACUUACUGGGGGCCACGUCCCACCCCUCAGAUAUUUCUUUGAAGGGAGAGCAAACCCACCCUGUCCUCUGACGUCCCUUUCCCAACUGUCACCAAACAGACCAUCUUCCCAGGCCUGGGGACCGGUAAGAUCCAUGUCACUAGUUAUGCAGAGCAGUUGCCUUGGGUCCCACUGUCACCAAGGCAACCAGUCCUGCUGCUACCUGUCACCUAGAGUCACACACCCCUUCCCUCAUCAGGCACACCCAUGAAGACAGUGCCUCCCUCCUCCAGCUGUAACCAUGGAUACCACACAUUUCUCAUCUCAUUGGCCCCCACCCCAGAGACCUCCACCUCAACUUCUGGCUGUCCCUACCCUGACUCACCGCCAUGGAGAUCACCCUCCCCGAAGCUGUCGCCAGGGUGACCCAACAUCCAGUUCUCCGGCUCUCACCAUGGAAACAAACUGUCCCUGUCCCCAGGCCCACUCCAGUUCCAGACCACCCUCCAUGCUCCACCCCCAGGCGGUUUGGACCCCACCACUGUUGCCAUGGUGACCAAACUCUGGAGUCCGAGGUAACAGAACACCUGUCCCCCUAGGCUUUUCCUUGUGGACAACGGGGCCCUGUUCACCAAGCUGUUGCCAUAGAGACUGUCAACGUUGUCCUCAUGACAACCAGACUUCCAGUUCUCAGGAACUUCUCAUUGUGGGCCAGAAGUCCUGGGUGCCUCCUACUAGGGCUACCCUACUGCACCCCAUCAGGGGCCUGAUGGCUGCCCCUUCCCCAGACAGGGCUGGACUUCUGGAGCUGCUAAGCCACCCUCCGUUUGCACGUUAACUCUAUGCCGGAUAGCAGCUGUGCACGAGACAAUCUUGCAACACCCGGGCAUGUUUGUCGUCGUCCUACAAAUGAGGAAACCGAGCCUAUGGCGUGCCCUGGUCUGUUGAGAUAUGCAAGCACUGAGCUCCUCUUUUGUCCUCUGAGACCCCAUCUCCAUUCUCACCCAGUUCCUCUCUCCUUCCCUGACCCCCACCCACAUUUCCCUCCUUAGAGAUCCAGGAGGGAUGGAAUGUUCUUUAAAAUUCAACACCCACCAGGCUCUAAGCGGCGAUCUGUGCUAAGAGGUCAGGACCCAGCCGAAGUCCUCGGCGUUGACAGGCAGCUGGGGGGACAUGAUCCAUGGACAAGGCCAUCCCGGCCGUGGGAGACCCCAGUCCCGAAGUCUUGCCUGCAGGAGUACUGGGGUCCCCCUGGGGCCCUCUUUACUGUCACGUCAUCUCUAGGAAACCUAUCUCUGAGUUUUGGGACCAGGUCGGUUUGGGUUUGAAUUCUGCCUCUUCUUGCUCACUGUGUGACCAAGUGACAAACUCCUUCUGAACCUGUGUUCUCCCACUGUACCAGGGCUGUUCUGUGGUCCCCGUGAGUGCCAAGCAUACAGUAGGGGCUCAAUAAAUCCUUGUUUCUUUUGAUGAAUGAGAAAAUGAGGCAGCCAGUGGGUAAUUCCUGUAUAAAUGCACUUUGGUAGAUAAGAUGUUACAAGCUUGGGGGGCUUGGGGUUUUUUUUGUUUUGUUUUUUUGAGAUGGAGUCCUGCCCUGUCGCCCAGGCUGGAGUGCAGUCGUGCAAUCUUGGCUCACUGCAACCUCUGCCUCCCGGGUUCAAGUGAUUCUCCUGCCUCAGCCUCCCGAGUAGCUGGGAUUACAGGUGCCUGCCACCACACCCGGCUAAUUUUUGUAUUUUUAGUAGAGACAGGGUUUCACCAUGUUGGCCAGGCUGGUCUUGAACUCCUGACCUCAGGUGAUCUACCCACCUCGGCCUCCCAAAGUGUUGGGGUUACAGGUGUGAGCCACUGCGCCUGGCCGGGCUUGAUUUUUAUUCUCUUUGGAAGUGGGGUCCUUCAUUCCUCCCCCACCUCCCCAAUCUCUUGCUCCUCUUUCUUCCCCCAUCCUGUGCCCACUGUCUCCCUUUAGCCACCCACCAUGGGUCUGCUCCUUGUCAACUCUGUCCUGACUGGGUCAUUGACAAGAUCCAGGGCAUGAAAUUCGGGAAACUGGAAGGGGGGUUCCUGUACCAGGAAGGGAGAGACAUUACAAACUUUCCCUGACAUGAAUAUGUGGGCUGAGGGCAGGGGCUGAGGAAGCACUGGAAGUUUCUAGGAUACAACAAAGCAUGAAGAGAAAAAAUAGUGUAAGGUCCUGACCGUGCACAGUGGAUCAUGCCUAUAAUCCCAGCACUUUAAGAGACCAAGGUGGGAGGAUUGCUUGAGCCAGAAGGUCGAGGCUGCAGUGAGCCAUGAUUGUACCACUGCACUCCAGCUUGGGCGACGGAGUGAGACCCUGUCUCAAAAAAUAAAAAUAAGUAAAUCUCCUCUUCCUCAUUCUUCU